rnacentral:piRNA from 1 species
CAUUUAGUGGAUAAGUGGAAGCUGAGAUG